rnacentral:rRNA from 1 species
UACCGUGAAAAAAUUAGAGUGUUCAAAGCAGGCAGAUUCAAUUUUCUUGCCACCGAAUACAUUAGCAUGGGAUAAUGGAAUAGGACCCUGUCCUCCUAUUUUCAGUUGGUUUUGGCAGCGCGAGGACUAGGGUAAUGAUUAAUAGGGAUAGUUGGGGGCAUUAAUAUUUAAUUGUCAGAGGUGAAAUUCUUGGAUUUAUGAAAGAUUAACUUCUGCGAAAGCAUCUGCCAAGGAUGUUUUCAUUAAUCAAGAACGAAAGUUAGGGGAUCGAAGACGAUCAGAUACCGUCGUAGUCUUAACCAUAAACGAUGCCGACCAGCGAUUAGGAGACGUUGAAUACAAAACACCACCAUCGGCGCGGUCGUCCUUGGCGCGUUCGUGUUCACCCCCGGGCACGCGAGGGCGGCUUAGCCCGGUGGCACCGGUGAAUGACUCC